rnacentral:rRNA from 1 species
UGACGCUGGCGGCAGGCUUACACCUGCCAGCCUAGCGGGGAAGUGGUAGCUUGCUACUAACCUACGGCGGACGGGUGAGUAAUGCUUAGGAAUCUGCCUAUUAGUGGGGGACAACGUUUCGAAAGGAACGCUAAUACCGCAUACGUCCUACGGGAGAAAGCAGGGAUCAUUUGACCUUGUGCUAAUAGAUGAGCCUAAGUCGGAUUAGCUAGUUGGUGGGGUAAAGGCCUACCAAGGCGACGAUCUGUAGCUGGUCUGAGAGGACGACCAGCCACACUGGAACUGAGACACGGUCCAGACUCCUACGGGAGGCAGCAGUUGGGGAAUUUUGGACAAUGGGCGCAAGCCUGAUCCAGCAAUGCCGCGUGCAGGAUGAAGGCCUUCGGGUUGUAAACUGCUUUUGUACGGAACGAAACGGUGAGCUCUAAUAAAGUUUGCUAAUGACGGUACCGUAAGAAUAAGCACCGGCUAACUACGUGCCAGCAGCCGCGGUAAUACGUAGGGUGCGAGCGUUAAUCGGAAUUACUGGGCGUAAAGCGUGCGCAGGCGGUUAUGUAAGACAGAUGUGAAAUCCCCGGGCUCAACCUGGGACCUGCAUUUGUGACUGCAUAGCUAGAGUACGGUAGAGGGGGAUGGAAUUCCGCGUGUAGCAGUGAAAUGCGUAGAUAUGCGGAGGAACACCG